GGACUAUCCGCCUGGGUACUACGAGCUUUAGCUUAAAACCCAAAGGACUUGGCGGUGCUUAAGAUCCCCCUAGAGGAGCCUGUUCUAUAACCGAUAACCCCCGUUUAACCUCACUCUUUCUUGUUCAUUCCGCCUAUAUACCGCCGUCGUCAGCUCACCCUGUGAAGGCCCUGUAGUAAGCAAAAUUGGCACGACCCAAAACGCCAGGUCGAGGUGUAGCGUAUGAAAGAGGAAGAAAUGGGCUACAUCUAACAG
rnacentral:rRNA from 1 species